UUUCCGGGGUAACUAUCACUAUAAAGAGUAGCGACCUAUUCAGCGACAUAUGAGUUUGUCGCAUAAUGAGCCGCUCUCCGAUCUCAAGGAACGUUUUUCACAAGGAAACGCUUCCCGCAUAUUCCAAAUCCAGAUAAUUGAUAUUAUUUCUAAAAUGACUUCUGUUGGGAACUUGUGACUCAUAAUAGGAAGCCGCUAAAAAAGGCUAGUGCGGAGCCUAACGUAGCGGAGCGGAGCUCGAGCCGAAGGUAAUUGAGACAUAAAGUGAAGUAGGGUUGGAAUAUGAUUAGUAGUUAUAAAUACUAUCUAUUGUAAAGCCCUAAGUAACCAAGGAAUCAUCAAUAAACAAUAAGUCGCCGCCUGUGGAGUACCCAAAUUGGGGAACCACGUAAAUCUCUUGUGUUC
rnacentral:lncRNA from 1 species